UACAGAGGUCUCAAGCGUUGUUCGGAAUCACUGGGCGUAAAGGGUGCGUAGGCGGCGCGGAAAGUCAGAUGUGAAAUCCGGAGGCUCAACCUCCGAAUUGCAUCCGAUACUCCCGCGCUAGAGAGUUGGAGAGGAGACUGGAAUUCAUGGUGUAGCAGUGAAAUGCGUAGAGAUCAUGAGGAAGACCAGUGGCGAAGGCGGGUCUCUGGACAGUUCCUGACACUGAGACACGAAGGCCAGGGGAGCAAACGGG
rnacentral:rRNA from 1 species